rnacentral:rRNA from 1 species
GACGAACGCUGGCGGCGUGCUUAACACAUGCAAGUCGAACGGAAAGUCCCUGCUUUUGUGGGGUGCUCGAGUGGCGAACGGGUGAGUUACACGUGAGUAACCUGCCCUUGACUUUGGUAUAACUUCAUGACACUGGGGCUAAUACCGGCUAGGAGCUCUCGCUUCAUGGUGGGGGUUGGAAAGUUUCGGCGGUUGGGGAUGGACUGGCGGCGUAUCGGCUUGUUGGUGGGGUAGUGGCUUACCAUGGCUUUGACGGGUAGCCGGGCUGAGAGGGGAACCGGCUAAGUCACGCUGGUGAUGCGGCACGGACUCGUCCGGGAGGCAGGGGAGCAGAAUGGUACACUGGGGGCUGAGGGCUGAUGCAGCAAAGCCGCGUCGGGGGAGACGGCAAUGCGGUUGUAAAGCACAUCCGUCUGUCACGAGGCGUGAGUGACAGUAAUGGGUAAAGAAGCACCGGCUAACUACGUG